GGCUGGCUUUGCACCCACUGAGAGGGCCUAUUUGAGCUGGAUGCUCGGAAAGGGUUGGGCUGGGCAGGUGAGGGCUGCCGGGACCGUCUCGCCCUUCGAGGGAAGGAGAGUUGGCCAAAUCGAGCCCAGGUCACCAAGCCAGAGCACCUCAGUUCCCCAGGACUGUGAUGGUAGCAGGAACGGUCCCCCAUAAUUGAGUGGACCCUGCAUGCAUCCUCUCUGUGCCCCACGCUGUAGGCGCUGUGUGAUGAUUAUUCCUGAGGCUCAGUGUGGGCAAGCCUCUUGCCUAUAGUCACGAUCCAUUGAGGGGCAGAGCUGGGGUUGACUCUAACAGGCCUGACUGGAGCCUGAGCUUGUCCCUCUGGUCCUCUCUGGCCCACCUUGUGCACCUCACAAGGCGAACAGAGUGAGGGCAUCAUUCGAGAACCUUGGAAAGCCCUUAAGAUAGGGCCUGAGUUGUAACCGUUGCUGUGUGCCUGGUGGGAGGACAGGCCCGGCUCAGAGCCUGGAACUGCUUGUGAUGGAGGACGGCAUCCACUGUGGGUCCUAGACCAAGGCUGACUGGGAAGUGGUGCAGGCGAGGCAUGCUGGGGGCGUGAACUCAGCAGAGGCCAUGCGGCAGGGACUCAGGAGGCAUUUGGGAAGAAGGACCUGCAGGGCCUGGACAUCAAAGUGAGGGAAAGGGAAGGUCCAGGCUGGCGCCCAGGUUUGGAGAGCAUUUGGGAUGGUGGUGCCCAGGUUUGGAGAGCAUUUGGGAUGGUGGUGCCCAGCUCUGAGCCGAGGACACAGGACACGGGAUGGAAGAGGGUGUGCUGAGUUUUGGGGGUGUUGCAUUUGAGCUAGCUCGGGGGGACACAGGACGGGAAGGGCUGUGGAGCUCAGGACGCAGCUGUGUCUAUAGGUCUGGAGGUCAGGAGAGAGAGGAGGAAGGUGGUUGGGAUAUGAGUGUCAUCUGUGGAUGUGUGGGUGAGAUGUCCUGUGGGUGGGACGUCAGCCAGGUUCCUGGAGGUGCUAACCCGUCCGCUGGUCACGAGGCUGGCCCGUGGCCUCCUGUACACGGCCCCAGAUGAAGACGCCUCCUUGCCCUGUCCAGCCUCUGGCUUCCAGCCUGCUUAACCCCUUGUAGGGCCUGAGAGCAAGACAGCACGGUGAGGCGUGCCAGCCCCAAGAGACACCUCAUACACAGAGGCUGCGGCCGGAAGGGGCCGAGGACAGGAUGGGCGACCCAGUCAUACAGCAACAUCUGGGGGCGGGCGGGUGAGUCCACCCACUGUGCAGGUGAGGAAAAGUUGCCCCGAGCUGGUGGGCAUGCUGUCCCACUUUGCAGAACCUCUGCCUGACUUCUGGGGAGACCAGAGAUUCAUGUCCAAUCAAGCAUCCUGGGAACGCCUCCAAUUUGCCAUGAAAUAGUUGUAAGUGUCAAGAAAAGCAGUUUCCAGGUUAAGGGAAGUCGAGGGGAAGACCCAUCCUUGGGUUUCUGGGUGGCAUCAGGCUAUAAGAAGCAGCUACCGUGGGUCUCUGCGGCCACAGGCCCCUGCCCGCUACCCGCCCGGACGGGCUCCCCUGGGGCCAGUGCUCAGUGCCAGCCUCUCUCCUGGGCCUCCAGGAGGACGCCUCCCUAAUUAGCUGCCAAGAGUGUUGCGAUGGGCAGCAGGCUGGCAGGGCCGGCCGGCCACAGGGAGCCACAGCCCGAAAUAAAUAGUCUCUCUGGGAAAGUUCUGCUGUCACCUCAGAGGCCCAGGUGGUCCAGGAGGACCCUGGCCUUGCAGCUUCCUCUGCUCCAUACGCCGGGGGACCGUCCAGGCAGGGGGACAGCACGGGCAAAGGUCUGGAGAUGCGACCACAUGGCAGAGGGACACUCCAGCCUGGGUGCCGCCGUCUUACCUCUGACAGCUCACAACGUGCAACGCUCUUUUAAGCGGCAGCAGCAGCAAGAAUCCUGAAAAUCUGCAGACCUGGUCUGUGUGGCUCCAGAGUUUUGAAGCUGAAGGAUGAAACGGGUGAGCACAAGGGGUGGCCACGCUGGAUUUCCUGGUCUAGAUGACCUUUGAGUUUCCUGCAGAGCCUGACAUUCAAGGUUUCAUGUUUCCCCUAAAACAAGGCAGAGUCGGCCGUGUGCUCCUCGUCUGAGGCUGUUCGGAGAGACACAUGCUGUCUCUCUCUUGACUGUGUGGCUGACCCAGGACUUGGAAAUGGCAGGACAGCAGCGUGCAGGCAGCCUUGGGGAGGGCCUGUGCAGGGAGGCACCUGUCUAGCCCGGGUCUGCAUCACCAGAGAGAAACAAUCCCCGUGUUAAGCCAUUGUGAUCUGAGGGCUUGUUUGUUACUGCAACUCACCUAUCCUGUCCUGACCGAUACAAGAAGGUGCUGGAGAAACAAUAAACACGGAUGCAGCAUUCAAUACACCUCAUCCUCCUCCAUCCUGUGAUAUUGGCGUUGAGAUCCCGACUUUACAGACACGGGACAGGACAGCAGCCAAGUGAAGGAUUCACCUGAAGUCAGCUGGCAGGUGACAGAAGAGGGACUCAAACUCCGCUCUGUCUGGUUCCGGGGGUUUUUCAUUUCACGAGUUUCCUCCCUGUCUGCAUGCAAGCCCCUGGUGGAAUGCGAGCUAAUUUUGGGGGGGGGGGGUAUGUGGAUGAAAAAGUUAAAUUUAAUUAACUUUGAAUUUAUUUGAAGGCACAUUGUAAUAAAUAUAUAAACUGUACAUCAAACCAGUGAUUUCACGGCUACUAUUUUGUAGGAGGAGGAGAAAUUUUUUCAAAAAGUGCGUUGAUUUAGAGUGAAUUGAAGAGAAGGAUUAACUUGAUAACAGUAAAGCUGUAGGUGGAUCCAGCAAAACCGUGAUGACGGUGGGCGAAGGAUGAAGGGGGCACCCGGCCCUAGACCAGGUGGCACCUCUCGUCCCAGGAGUGCGAGCUCACCAGGUCUGCUGUUGAGGAAAAGACUGGGCGGGGGGCGCAGGGGCGGGCGCUGUGCGCCUUCCGCUGAACCACGCUCUGCUCACGGCCCCUCACUUUAUCACAAACGCUCUCUC
rnacentral:lncRNA from 1 species